UGAGCUCAUCAAGGACCGAGGGAG
rnacentral:piRNA from 1 species